AUUGAACGCUGGCGGCAUGCUUUACACAUGCAAGUCGAACGGUAACAGGCCGCAAGGUGCUGACGAGUGGCGAACGGGUGAGUAAUGCAUCGGAACGUGCCCAGUCGUGGGGGAUAACUGCGCGAAAGAGCAGCUAAUACCGCAUACGAUCUAUGGAUGAAAGCGGGGGACCGUAAGGCCUCGCGCGAUUGGAGCGGCCGAUGUCAGACUAGGUAGGUGGUGGGAUAAAAGCUUACCAAGCCGACGAUCUGUAGCUGGUCUGAGAGGACGACCAGCCACACUGGGACUGAGACACGGCCCAGACUCCUACGGGAGGCAGCAGUGGGGAAUUUUGGACAAUGGGCGAAAGCCUGAUCCAGCAAUGCCGCGUGCAGGAUGAAGGCCUUCGGGUUGUAAACUGCUUUUGUACGGAACGAAAAGCUUCGGGUUAAUACCCUGGAGUCAUGACGGUACCGUAAGAAUAAGCACCGGCUAACUACGUGCCAGCCGCCGCCGUAAUAC
rnacentral:rRNA from 1 species